GACGAACGCUGGCGGCGUGCCUAAUACAUGCAAGUUGAGCGCUGAAGGUUGGUACUUGUACCAACUGGAUGAGCAGCGAACGGGUGAGUAACGCGUGGGGAAUCUGCCUUUGAGCAGGGGACAACAUUCGGAAACGAAUGCUAAUACCGCAUAAAAACUUUAAACACAAGUUUUAAGUUUGAAAGAUGCAAUUGCAUCACUCAAAGAUGAUCCCGCGUUGUAUUAGCUAGUUGGUGAGGUAAAGGCUCACCAAGGCGAUGAUACAUAGCCGACCUGAGAGGGUGAUCGGCCACAUUGGGACUGAGACACGGCCCAAACUCCUACGGGAGGCAGCAGUAGGGAAUCUUCGGCAAUGGACGAAAGUCUGACCGAGCAACGCCGCGUGAGUGAAGAAGGUUUUCGGAUCGUAAAACUCUGUUGGUAGAGAAGAACGUUGGUGAGAGUGGAAAGCUCACAAAGUGACGGUAACUACCCAGAAAGGGACGGCUAACUACGUG
rnacentral:rRNA from 1 species